AUUGAACGCUGGCGGCAGGCUUAACACAUGCAAGUCGAGCGGUAGCACAGGGGAGCUUGCUCCCUGGGUGACGAGCGGCGGACGGGUGAUUAAUGUCUGGGAAACUGCCUGAUGGAGGGGGAUAACUACUGGAAACGGUAGCUAAUACCGCAUAACGUCGCAAGACCAAAGAGGGGGACCUUCGGGCCUCUUGCCAUCAGAUGUGCCCAGAUGGGAUUAGCUAGUAGGUGGGGUAAUGGCUCACCUAGGCGACGAUCCCUAGCUGGUCUGAGAGGAUGACCAGCCACACUGGAACUGAGACACGGUCCAGACUCCUACGGGAGGCAGCAGUGGGGAAUAUUGCACAGUGGGCGCAAGCCUGAUGCAGCCAUGCCGCGUGUGUGAAGAAGGCCUUCGGGUUGUAAAGCACUUUCAGCGAGGAGGAAGGUGGUGAACUUAAUACGUUCAUCAAUUGACGUUACUCGCAGAAGAAGCACCGGCUAACUCCGU
rnacentral:rRNA from 1 species